AUUGAACGCUGGCGGCAGGCCUAACACAUGCGAGUCGAGCGGAUGAAGGGAGCUUGCUCCUGGAUUCAGCGGCGGACGGGUGAGUAAUGCCUAGGAAUCUGCCUGGUAGUGGGGGAUAACGUCCGGAAACGGGCGCUAAUACCGCAUACGUCCUGAGGGAGAAAGUGGGGGAUCUUCGGACCUCACGCUAUCAGAUGAGCCUAGGUCGGAUUAGCUAGUUGGUGGGGUAAAGGCCUACCAAGGCGACGAUCCGUAACUGGUCUGAGAGGAUGAUCAGUCACACUGGAACUGAGACACGGUCCAGACUCCUACGGGAGGCAGCAGUGGGGAAUAUUGGACAAUGGGCGAAAGCCUGAUCCAGCCAUGCCGCGUGUGUGAAGAAGGUCUUCGGAUUGUAAAGCACUUUAAGUUGGGAGGAAGGGCAGUAAGUUAAUACCUUGCUGUUUUGACCUUACCAACAGAAUAAGCACCGGCUAACUUCGUG
rnacentral:rRNA from 1 species